GCAUAUUCUUUGGUGAUUGGGACCCAAGCAGCAGAAGCAGUUGGAAUGCAUAGCCGGCUGGUGAUAUAGGGAGAGCUACACUCCACCUACUUAUAACAGGAUCGUUGCAGCUGGAUCAGGAAUAAAAAAGACUCGCUGGGGAUGGACUUUGCGAGCAGUAAUGGCGAAAAGGUGCAGGGUGCGAAGAGAUACGCUACAAUUCAUCACGAUCAUGGUGGCGCAAAAGUGUGCUGGCCACGGACCGAUGGCCGCCGCGCACGUCACGGGCUUAAUGUCGCCGCCGUCGCCGUCGUCGUGGCUACUAAUCUGAUCCGGAUGAUCCCGCGGCGAUCGCGAUUACUCCGAGGAUCUGCGCCCCGAUUAUUUACGCGAGCGGAGCGGCCGUCCGCGUGCAUGCCGACCGUAUCCCGGGAAUCCAUAGUUUUAGUUAUCUCGUGGUGAUUAACUCAAAUGAGCAUGCUUCUGUUUUCAAUUAAUAAUCGCCAUACAUACGUAGCUAGCUUCGCCUAUGGGGGUGCCAACCCCUAUGAUAUGAUAGCCUCCCUGCGUCAAUUAGUUCACAUGCGUGCACCACAAGCUUUGAUCGGUUGGCUGCAACUGAUUUGCACAUGCCUAGUUAUAUGCAUAUAUUGCUAGGACCUUUUUGUUAUAGUUUUCACAAGUAGACGUAUGGAUUCAAAAUUCCUUGAGUGUACCUGUUGUACAGUAGCAUAUGUCAUGCUCUAUAAAAAAGCUUCACAUCUUCUUUUGAGCAAAUUAAGCUUUUAAA